rnacentral:rRNA from 1 species
AGGAAUUGGCGGGGGAGCACCGCAACGGGAGGAGCGUGCGGUUUAAUUGGAUUCAACACCGGAAAACUCACCAAGGGCGACUGUUACAUGAAAGCCAGGCCGAUGACCUUGCUAGAUUUUCAGAGAGGUGGUGCAUGGCCGUCGUCAGUUCGUACCGUAAGGCGUUCUCUUAAGUGAGAUAACGAACGAGACCCUCACCGAUAAUUGCUACCCCUUCCUCCGGGGAGGGGGCACAUUAUAGGGACCGCUGGCGCUAAGCCAGAGGAAGGAGAGGUCAACGGUAGGUCAGUAUGCCCCGAAUCUCUUGGGCUACACGCGCGCUACAAAGGGCGGGACAAUGGGCUCCGACGCCGAGAGGCGGAGGCAAUCCCGAAACCCGUCCGUAGUUCGGAUCGGGGGUUGUAACCCACCCCCGUGAAGCUGGAUUCCGUAGUAAUCGCGAAUCAACAACUCGCGGUGAAUAUGCCCCUGCUCCUUGCACACACCGC